UGAGCAAUCUGCCCUUCUCAUCGGAAUAAGCGUUGGAAACGACGUCUAAUGCCGAAUACGACCUCCUUUCGCAUGAUCGGAGGUGGAAAGCUCCGGCGGAGAAGGAUGAGCUCGCGGCCUAUCAGCUAGUUGGUGUGGGUAAUGGCCCACAAGGCGACGACGGGUAGCCGGCCUGGAGAGGGUGACCGGCCACACGUGGGACUGAGACACCGGCCCAAGACCCCCGUAGGGGA
rnacentral:rRNA from 1 species